rnacentral:snRNA from 1 species
GGAUGUGAGGGCGAUCUGGCUGCGACAUCUGUCACCCCAUUGAUCGCCAGGGUUGAUUCGGCUGAUCUGGCUGGCUAGGCGGGGGUCCCCCUCCUCCCCCACCCCCCCCUGUGCGCCCCCCCCCCAGCCGCGGGCCCCGGCGGAGGAGGACGACCUUCCCCGAUAGAGACGUACCGUUCAUCGGUCAAGGGUAUACGGUAGCUGCGCUCCCCUGCUAGAACCUCCAAACAAGCUCAAGGUCCAUUUGUAGGAGAACGUAGGGUAGUCAAGCUUCCAAGACUGCAGACACAUCCAAGUGAGGCACUGCAUGGGGCAGUCUGCCAUUGUUU